rnacentral:rRNA from 1 species
AGUGAACGCUGGCGGUAGGCCUAACACAUGCAAGUCGAACGGCAGCACAGUAAGAGCUUGCUCGUACGGGUGGCGAGUGGCGGACGGGUGAUGAAUACAUCGGAAUCUACUUUUUCGUGGGGGAUAACGUAGGGAAACUUACGCUAAUACCGCAUACGACCUACGGGUGAAAGCAUGGGAUCUUCGGACCUUGCGCGAUUGAAUGAGCCGAUGUCGGAUUAGCUAGUUGGCGGGGUAAAGGCCCACCAAGGCGACGAUCCGUAGCUGGUCUGAGAGGAUGAUCAGCCACACUGGAACUGAGACACGGUCCAGACUCCUACGGGAGGCAGCAGUGGGGAAUAUUGGACAAUGGGCGAAAGCCUGAUCCAGCAAUACCGCGUGGGUGAAGAAGGCCUUCGGGUUGUAAAGCCCUUUUGUUGGGAAAGAAAAGCAGCAGGUUAAUACCCCGCUGUUCUGACGGUACCCAAAGAAUAAGCACCGGCUAACUUCGUG